rnacentral:tRNA from 1 species
GCAGCUGUGGUGUAGUGGCCAACACGUCCGUCUCCAAAACGGAAGAUCGCAGGUUCGAAUCCUGUCAGCUGCG